UGGUUCAGGCAUCGAUGAAGAACGCAGCGAAAUGCGAUAAGUAAUGUGAAUUGCAGAAUUUUGUGAAUCAUCGAAUCUUUGAACGCACAUUGCACCUUUUGGUAUUCCGAAAGGUAUGCUUGUUCGAGCGUCGUUUAAACUAUAUUCAAUUUAAUUAUUGAAUGACUUGAGGUAUUUUGAUAAAACAAAAGCCUUUAAAAUAAUUGCCGCGAUUUUAAUACCGAAAACUCAUCAAUGCAUUUAAUUUUUCAUUGAUAAAUUAUUAGGACUACCAAAAUCUGCCAAAAAUUAAUCAAUUUUUCAUAAAUCGACCUCGAAUCAAGUAGGAUUACCCGCUGA
rnacentral:misc_RNA from 1 species